GCCGGGAGCGGAGGAGCGUGCCUGUAAUCCCAGCUACUCGGAAGGCUUGAGCCCAGGAGUUCUGGGCUGUAAUGCGCUAUAUGGAUUGGGUGUCCACACUAAGUUCGGCAUCAAUAUGGUGACCUCCUGGGAGCGGGGGACCACCAGGUUGCCUAAGGAGGGUGAAUCAGCCCAGGUCGGAAACGGAGCAGGUCAAAACUCCCGUGCUGAUCAGUAGUGGGAUCGCGCCUGUGAAUAGCCACUGCACCCCAGCCUGGGCAACAUAGCGAGAC
ensembl:misc_RNA Metazoa_SRP Metazoan signal recognition particle RNA